CGGGCCGAAGCUUGGGCAAAAAAAUAAGUCUCGUUUAGAAAAUGGGCUGGGCCUUGAGUAAGGCUUUUUUUGCCCUAGCCCUACCCUGCCCAAGCCCGAAUAUGCAAAAAAAAUGAGUUUUUUUUUACUUUUUUAUUAUUUUCUUGCCAUUUUCUUGUUGUUGUUUUUUUUUAUUAUUUUACUACUAUUUCACAAUUAUGUUGCUAUUAUUUUAU
rnacentral:lncRNA from 1 species